rnacentral:rRNA from 1 species
AUUGAACGCUGGCGGCAGGCCUAACACAUGCAAGUCGAACGAGUGGCGGACGGGUGAGUAAUGUCUGGGAAACUGCCUGAUGGAGGGGGAUCACUACUGGAAACGGUAGCUAAUACCGCAUACCAUCAGAUGUGCCCAGAUGGGAUUAGCUAGUAGGUGGGGUAACGGCUCACCUAGGGGACGAUCCCUAGCUGGUCUGAGAGGAUGACCAGCCAAACUGGAACUGAGACACGGUCCAGACUCCUACGGGAGGCAGCAGUGGGGAAUAGUGCACAAGGGGCGCAAGCCUGAUGCAGCCAUGCCGCGUGUGUGAAGAAGGCCUUCGGGUUGUAAAGUACUUUCAGCGAGGAGGCGUUACUCGCAGAAGAAGCACCGGCUAACUCCGUGCCAGCAGCCGCGGUAAUUC